CCAGACAGUUCUAGGCGCUCAGGUCCGCAGCUGUGCUACCCCCGCCGCCCGGGACGCCCGGUCCCCGCCAGGGCCCUCUCACUGUAGCUUUAAGGAGGGCUGGGGCCGGGUGCAGCGGCACCUGGAGUCUCGGUGGAACCCGGCAGCGGUGGGCGCGGACCCCGGAGAGGCUGCCCCGAGCCCGAGCACCCCCUGACCGGGCGCUCACCACGGGUGUUGGGACAAGCAGCGGAGCCUGCGGGCUGGAGCCAGGCUCGGACCCUCCGCGCCGGGGCGGGCGGCCGAGCGGACGCAGCUGGCAGUGGCGGCGGGAGAGCGCCCCGGAUCCGCCCGGAGCCCAACCCCGUGGCACUUCGGCUGGCUGGGCAGCGGCGCUGGGGACAACGCGGGGCCUUCUGCAACGAGCGCCUGCGUGGGACUCCAGGGGCCGGCGCCCCGCUCCGCUCCCCCCAGGCCUCAACCCCGCUGGCUACCCGCGCUGAAACCUCACCUGCCGCCGGCUGCAAACGGACUGCGCUCCAGGUUCUGCCAAAACAAGUGAUUGCAACAUAUAAUUGGACCAGCAACUAGAUGAUGUGACUCUUCUCUUCUGCCUGAGCCCUGGAUAUACUGUGUAUUAUGACACAUGGCUGAGUCCAACAUCAAGGUGAUGUGACUGACCACUUCUGCCUGGGCCAUGCCGAAAAAAGGAGAUUGUGACAUAUCACUGCAUUCAAUACCUAGAUGAUGUAAGUUUUUUCUUUUGCGUGGCUCUGCAUAUUUUUCAUAUUGUGACAUAUCAUUGGACCCAGCACCUAGGUGACGAUACUCUAUUCUCCUGCCUUAGCACUGGAGAAUAGAGUAUCACUGGACGCAGCACCUAGAAGAUGGGACUGUAUUCUACUGCCUUGGCGCAGCAUACAGAGGGUGUUUUCACAUAUCACUGGGCCCUGCACACAGGUUAUGUGGCUCUCCUGUGACAUAUUGCUGGGUCCAACAAGCUGGUGACACAACCCUCCUGCUGGGGCCCUGCCUCCCUGGCAUUGUGACAUACCUCUGUGCCCAUCACCGUGGUGAUGUGAUUCUCUUCUCCUGCCUGGUCCCUGAUCACAGAGGGGAUGGUGAUAUAUCGCUGAACCCAACCCCUGGCUGACGUGACUUUUCUUACUAGGCUCUGCUCACAGAGGAGAUUGUGUCUUUUUGCUUGGCCCAACGACUAGGUAAUGUUAUUUGUUUUGCCUUGGCCCUGCCCUCAGAAGGCAUUGUGACAUAUUUCUGGGCCCAGCAUAAAGGUUAUGUGAAUCUCCUGCUUGGACCCUGCUGACAGGGGGAAUUGUGACAUAUCUCUGGAAUUUGUCACAUACAAUUUAUCCUAAAUUCCCCUGAAAAUUGGAGGUCAUCUCUGGUUGCUAAUUGGCUAUAUUCAAAGGAAAAAUAAACUUAUGCUUUCAUGAGAGGUAGUUUGGAAACUUGGAGCCAGGUGCGUGAUGAAAGUUGGCUCCUAUCUUCCAACAAAAAGUGUGGAAUGGAGCUCUAUUUUCUUUGCUAUUUACAUUUUAAAUAAAUGAUUUUCAGGUCCUAGAGAAAGACAGUCCUGAGUCAGAGAUACUCACAAAAGACCUAUUUAGCAGUUAGAAUAAUUUAUAUAUAUUUCAAGUUGGCAGAAAAAUAAUUUAAGUAUAAAAGUUUUCUGGGCUGGGCGUGGUGACUCACACCUGUAAUCCCAGCAUUUUGGGAGGCCAAGGCAGGUGGAUCAUGAGGUCAGGCAUUCAAGACCAGCCUGGCCAAGAUGGUGAAACGCCAUCUCUACUAAAAACUACAAAACUUAGCCGGGCGCAGUGACAGGUGCCUGUAAUCCCAGCUACUCAGGAGGCUGAGGCAGGAGAACCACUUGAACCUGGAUGGCAGAAGUUGCAGUGAGCCAAGAUCACACCACUGCACUCUAGCCUGGGUGACAGAGUGAGACUCCAUCUCUAAAAAAAAAAAAAGUUUUCUAAAGUGAAUGUGUUUAAAAAAAGAGAAGAGAAAAAUCUCUUUUUUCAUGGACAUCUGAAUUCUAGUAGGUGCUGGAUUCAGGCACCUGAGGGGUGACCUUGGGCAUACUGUGCACAUCAGAAGGGUUUAUGGGGAAGUAAAAGCAGAAGAGGUUGGGCGCAGUGGCUCAUGCCUGUAAUCCCAGCACUUUGGGAGGCCAAGGUGGGUGGGUCACCUGAGGUCAGGAGUUCAAGACCACCCUGACCCACAUGGCGAAACCCCGUAUCUUCUAAAAAUACACACAAAAAAAUAGCUGGGCAUGGUGGUGGGCACCUGUAAUCGCAGCCAUUUGGGAGGCUGAGGCAAGAGAAUUGCUUGAACCCAGGAGUUGGAGGUUGCAGUGAGCCAAGAUCCCACCACUGCAUUCCAGCCUGGGCGAUAGAGUGGGACUCUGUCUCAAAAAAAAAAAAAAAAAAAAAGAAAGGCAAUAGAGGGAAAGGUGUUAUCAAGAACCCAUGAGUGGGGGACAGUACAUAAUAGCUGGGAGAACUGGUUUAUGCUACAGACACUAACCCAGGCAGGGCUAUAUUCUGACAUGUUCCUGUGUCCAUACAGGCAGAUGAGAUUAUGACUGGUGGUCCACAGGUCUAGGUGGAUGGAGGGAAAGGUUGCUGCUGCUGUUUGAGGAUCAAGGGUAGGAAAGAGCCAGGAGUCCUCUAGGAACUUGUGUGAAUUUUUUGGUGAGCAAUUCUAGGUGCAAAGGCCCUAUAAACAUAAUUCCUGAUAGUCAAGUCUUGUUUUGUGGAGGGUGUGGCCACAUCUAUUCCUAGUGGGUAUGUUCAUAAGUAGGUGAGAAUCGUGUGGUAGCAGGUUGGGGGCAGGGGGUCUGUUCUCAGAACUCCUUUCUUCUAAGUCCUCAGUCCCCUUUUACCCUGAGAGGAGAUCUGGAAUCACAGGACAAUGUGCAUUGUGACAGACUGUGUGCAGGGGAACAGAGUUUCCCUCCUGCCUAAACCCCUGGGAUAUUUUUUCCUGACACCAAAUGUAUAGAGUUUUAACAGCAACCAAUUCUCCAACACCAAUUGGUUGUCCAAUAAUAACUCAAUUCUGAUACCAUCCUGAGUCAACGCAGACGCCAAAAGUUCAGGGCUCAGUCCCACAACACUGCCCCCACUGCAGAUCCCAGCUGCGAUUAUUAGGGGCCCAUCUAUCCUUCUGAGCUACUGCCUAUAAAUUGGGGGCUCCCAUAACCUGCUCCUCAAGUUUAAUAACUUAAUAUAACUACUCACAGAACUCAACAAAACACUAUACAUGCAUUUACCAGUUUAUUAUAAAGAUACAAGUCAGGAACAGCCAAAUGGAAGAAAUGUAAAUGGCAAGAAAAAGCGGUGGGGGGGAAUGGGGUGGGUAGGUAACAGCAACAGCUGUGAUUAAAGAAAUCCCCCAUCCUUUGUGUUUUCCAAGAGCAUUUACUGCAAAGAAACAUCUUUCCUGUUUUUGAUAUCACAAAGCCACAGACUCUAAAUUCCCUUUUUUGGGGGUCUCAUAAACAAUUAAAUAAUAAGUUUGUCUUCAGUGGUCAGAACAAAAUACUUGUUAACCAAACUUUGUCUAAGUUUCUUUCCUUCCUCAGGCUCCCAAACUUUGACCUGAACUUACUCUGAGCUGACACACAACUCCUCUUUAUACCCCUCUUAAGAACAGGCUAGCCAGGUGUAGUGGCUCAUGCCUGUAAUCCCAGCACUAUGGGAGGCCAAGGUGGGCGGAUCACCUGAGGUUAGGAGUUCGAGGCCAGCCUGAACAGCAUGGAGAAAUCUCAUCUCUACUAAAAAUACAAAAUUAGCCAGGCAUGGUGGUGCAUGCCUGUAAUCCCAGCUACUGAGGAGGCUGAGGCAGGAGAAUUGCUGGAGCCCGGGAGGCAGAGGUUUCAGUGAGCUGAGAUCACACCAUUGCACUCCAGCCUGGGAAACAAGAGCAAAACUCGGUCUUUAAAAAAACAACAACAACAAAAAAUACAACAGGCUAACUUCUGGGUGAAACAUUCUCUGAUCUGGGACCUGAUUUCACCAUGUUUUAUUCCUCCCUCCCCCUCCUACCUUUCUUUCUGUCCUGUUUCCUCCUCCUUAUGAAAGAAAGCCCUAUUCUGCCUAACUUUUGAGAUCUUCCAGCAUCUUAUAGUUGGUGCUUUCCCUUUGUUGCAAUACUCCUUUAAAAUCAUGUAACUUCUUACCUAAAUCUGAAUUUGUCUUAUUUUACAAAAUCUAGAAAUAGCCCCAGGAAAAUAACGACUCCAUCCUCAGAAAGAGCUUCCCAACCCCACUUUCAUGCCAAUCCCAACUGUGUCUGCCUAAGGAUUUCCAGCUUUUCAGGGUUUUGUCAUUUCUCUAAGUAUAAAAGGCUCUGUCCAUGGCUAUUGUGAGCAGGCUAGGGCAUCUGCAGGGGAGGCUCCUCAGGCAGAACUGGUUGCUCCUUCAAUAAUCUCCCUUUGCAGGCAAAACUAUUGUUAGCUUGGGGAGUCACUGAAUUCAGGCUUCUACUUCCCAGUCAGGGUUAUUCACUUAGUUUUAAAUAAGAAAAUGCUCAAUGUUUGAAGAAAAGAGCAAAAUCACUCAAACACAGUGUUUAUAGAAUAUUGUAAGGAAAUUGUAAGGCACUUAGUAUCUAUUUCUUUCAGAAAAUAAACGUGUCAUUUAAAUAUUUCCAUGAUAAAUAAUUUAAUAAAUAACCAUAUGGGAACAUUUCUAGAAGGUGCUAAGUCUCAUCUCAUAAAAUUUAGCAUUAAACUUGGACAUCCAGACCACAGGAUACAGAACACAGAUGUCCACUGUUACAAAUUCUAGACCCUGCAAAAAAUGGGAGCUGAUGUUUUGAAAAAUAUAUGCAAUUCACCAGUUAAUCUAUCACAUUUGCUGUGGAAAUAUAUCACUUUCUGUAGCCAUAAUGCAAGAGCGAUUUUUCCUAUUUAUUUCCCUGGUAGCUUUGGUUUUUUUUUUUUUGUUUUUUUUUUGUUUUUUUUGUUUUUUUUUGAGACAGAGUUUCACUCUUGUUGCCCAGGCUGGAGUGCAAUAGCUUGAUCUCAGCUCACCGCAACCUCCGCCUCCCAGGUUCAAGCAAUUCUCCUGCUUCAGCCUCCCGAGUAGCAGGGAUUACAGGCAUGGGCCACCAUGGCCAGCGAAGUUUGUAUUUUUAGUAGAGAUGAGGUUUCUCCGUGUUGAUCAGGCUGAUCUCGAACUCCCAACCUCAGGUGAUCUGCCUGCCUCAGCCUCCCAAAGUGCAAGGAUUAUAGGUGUGAGCCACCGCACUCAGCCUUCUGGUAGCAUUUUCAAAGAAAAGCCCUGGAAUUUUACUUGAAAUCACCCCCCAAAAAGAACACACAUAAGAAACUUACUACACUCACUCUGGGGAUAAUAAAGAUAGAUAAGAAUCUUUAAUGAAAUAAAUAUAUGACUAGAUUUUACUGAAAUCCACCUUUCUGGGUACUUGACUCUUGUAAAAUGUCUUAAGUUCUACUAAUAAAAUGUAAUUUAAGGUAAUUAAAAAACUGAAGUUGAAAUAAGUAAAAUAAUCUUUCCAAGGUGACAAACUCAGGGAGUGGCAGUGCCGAUUGGAACACAAACAUGUCUGACUCAACUGUCAAGUCAGACCAUGGUAUCACUCAAAACAUUCUCCCAUUCCCAUCCUACCCAUUCAAUUACUCAGUGAUCACCUUCCCAGGAGAAACUGUACUGUACUCCACUGUGGGCCUCAGGUACAUUUUGUUUUGCAGGUUCUUGCAUUGCCUUACUAAAAUGGGUUCUUCUUAGUCCUUUGGAAAAAAAUUUAUUUCUUCACAAAUCUGAUGAAUCCAAAGGGCAGGAAUUAUUUCUGCCUUUUCUCCUCAAUAUGAACCUCUGAUUGGCUGAUCACCAAUGUGUCUACAAAGAAUAAAAAUUGGGGUUUAAAAAAACCCUUUUUUUAACUGCUUGCACACUUGUGCAUUUUUAUUUCAUUGGAGGAAAAUCCUAAAUACAUUGCAGAGUCAAGGGGUAAAUUAAAAAAAUAAUAAUUUCAUUUAUUUAUUUUGAGAUGGAGUCUCACUCUAUCACCCAGGUUGGAGUGCAGUGGCGCAAUCUCGGCUCACUGCAACCUCCGCAUACUGGGUUCAAGCGAUUCUUGUGCCUCAGCCUUCCCAGUAGCGGGACUACAGGCAUGCACCACUAUGCCUGGCUAAUUUUCAUACUUUUAGUAGAGGCGGGGUUUCACCAUGUUGGCCAGGUUGGUCUUAAACUGGAAUAGGAAUUAAAAUAAAUUAAAGAAUGUGUAAACAGAAACUCAGCUGUAUGUAAGAAAACCCAAUUCUCCCUGAGAAAGAGAAAGAGCUGGAGUCCUUUAAAAAUUAACUGCCUGUUUUUCUGUGGCUAGUGAGCCUUAUCUCUUCUUUCCCAGGCACUGUUUCUCUAGCUGUGCAGCUGCAAGGUCACUAGACAGAUAAACUCAAGUCGUAAAACAUGUUUUUCCUUGAAAAGUAAGAAUGAUGUAAUGCAUGUCUCAAUUAAUUGAAUAACUGUCUUUCUUUCUCGCUUCUGUAAUAUGCUUCCCCCUGCACAGAUCUCCCCCAACCCCACAAAAUGCUUAAAAGAUAACUUAGCUCUUUGUUCAGGGCUCAGUCCUUUGGAUGUAAUCCGACUAGGCCAGUGAACCUAAAUAAUAAAUAUCCUCCUCAA